rnacentral:rRNA from 1 species
GCUCAUAGCGUAUAUUAAAGUUGUUGCAGUUAAAAAGCUCGUAGUUGAAUUUCGGGGGUUAGUAGGUUGGUCAUGCCUCUGGUAUGUACUGGUCUCACUGAUUCCUCCUUCCUGAUGAACCGUAAUGCCAUUAAUUUGGUGUUGCGGGGAAUUUGGACUGUUACUUUGAAA